rnacentral:tRNA from 1 species
GGUGGCUCAGUGGUAGAGUGCUUGCCUUGCAUGUAUGAGUCCCUGGGUUCGAUCCUCAACACCA